CCUCACCCCAUCCUCCCCCUCACCCUCCCCUCACCUCACCCUGCCCCUCACCCUAUCCCAGGUCCUCUGUUCUCUCUCGGCCUUCCUUCCUGUCUCACGGUUCAGUCUGCGGGUCGGGGCUGGUCUGGCCCGUCUCCUGACGGCCCGCGGUCUGAUCCGGUCUGAGCCGGUCUGCUGCCCCGGGACCCGGGAGGAGGACUCCUUAGGAGACCGUCCCAUGCCUGCGUGUGCGUGUGCGUGUGCACGUGCGUGGGCGUGUGCGUGGGCGUGUGCGUGUGUUUGGCCGUGUCGGUGCACAUGUGUAAAUAUAACAUGUACACACAAUGCGGUUCGUGCUGAAGUGGGAAUCUCUCAUUGUUUCCAAUCUGUAUGCUGACCCGUUACGGACGGCCUCUCCGUUGGGACGGCGCUGGGACUGGAGGGCUCAGGCGGCGAGGCGCUGAUGGAACUCAUCCCUCAUGAACGGUCCAACCUUUGAUUUGCAGUUUUCAUGUGACAUAGCAGAAGUGGAGGUUUGGCCUGGACAGAGAAACGGACUGCAGAGGAGACAAUAGGGCUGCAUCUCUCUCUCUCUCUCUCUCUCUCUCUCUCUCUCUCUCUCUCUCUCUCUCUCUCUCUCUCUCUCUCUCUCUCUCUCUCUCUCUCUCUCUCUCUCUCUCUCUCUCUCUCUCCAUUCUCCAUUCUCAUAGGAGGAAUAGGCUCUCUGGCCAUUCAUCUUCUCGAUUCCCCUCCCCAUCUACCUGUAUUGUACACCCCCUCUCUCCCUCUCAUGCCCCGCCCACUAAGCCCCCCCUCCUCAUACAGUCUCACUGUGACCUCCUGCUGCUCCACCCAUCACACCCGUUGUCUCCACCUUCACCUGUCGUUGCCGUGGUGACGCCCGGCGGAGCAGAGACUCAGCCGUCCGGAGGAGUCUUAACGGAAUCCUUCCUUGUUUUCCUUUAUCUUUUGGUACGAGUCGUCUCCGGGCCUCACCAGUCAGACAUGGAGGGAGGGGUGAGCUCCGAAGGGUUGUUAGAAGCUGGACCAGGAUUGGUUGUUGUGAAAUGAACCGGGGGGGAGGGAGGGGUGGAAGGGGAGGAAGAGGAGGAAGGGAAGAGAUGGUUCUUCUGUGUUCUCCAAAAGGCAUAAUGUGUUUAUCCCAGAUCCCCGCCCUCCACCGCACAGAGUUGAUGUUUAGCUUUAUGCAUGUGCUGUAUCUGCUUAACUUUGAGUUUGGUUUCAUUCUUCUCCCAAAGCCUCGUCCCAUCACACAGAACGUUCCAAAUAGAGUGGCUCCAAAGGUUUCGCCAUGGUCAAAUGUAACAUCAGGGCUCUCGCAAUAGAAAAAAAUGAAAAAAGAUAUGAUAUAUAUGUUUGUUUUUUCAAAAUGUGUACAUAUAUAUUUCUAUUCAAAUAUAUAGCAAAUAUAUGAAUAUUGAAAAAAAGCAGAGAAAUAUAAAGCCGUUCUAAUUGAAAAUAUAUAUAAAAGAUCACAAGACAAUCGCUCAGAGGGAGAAAAGAGAACAGGACAAGGAAAGCAAAGACCAAGAGAAAGGAAAGGUAAGAGUGGACGAGCAGACCGGCAGGGAGGUCUGAGAGGAGCUCAGCGAUGAGGCGAUAGCGUUUUGAGCAAAGACACAGGGAGCCUCUAUGGAGACCCCCAGCGGUGGAACAGAAGCCCAGAGAGAGUGUGUAGUGAGGCAGAGGUUGUGUCGUUGGUUUAGUGUGCAGAACGUAUGGUGUUUGAAAACGGAAAAGACAGUAAAACAAAGACAGUAUCCAGUGAGUGAGCCUAUAGUGUAAAGUGUUGUGUUUGGAUACCUUCCAAAGGUGUGUUCACCAAUUCAAUGCCGUCACCUGACUAUAUUUAUUAAAGAGAGACGGACAAACAGACGUCUGUGUCUGUGUUCUGUCUGUCAGAGGAGGAGGUACCGUGUGAGAGACUGACAGACAGGUGUGUCUGUGUUCUGUCAGAGGAGGAGGUACCUUGUAGGCCUUCCCAGCGCUGGUCAGACCAUCAGAAGGUCCUGCUCUGAGGCUGUCUGGAUCUCUGGCGUACGUUACCGCCGGCUAGGACGCUGCAGGAUGUGCAGGAAGAGGUUUAAGCUUUUUACGUUCACGAUGCCUUUCCCUUUUGGCUCCUUGGUUUUCUUUUGGGUUCUGUUUCUGCUUUCCAGGUUAUGCAACUCCUUGUGUUGUGGAUCUCACUGGGUGAGGCGUGGGUCGGGCUCGAGGGCAGGGCGCUGGCUCCUGGGCUCUGUAGUAACCAAGUCCCUGCUGUUCCUUAUGUCCUAUAUCCUUCCUGUAUUUAUUUUUAUUUUGUUUUUUGCUGUAAUGUAUGGUUAGUUUUCUCCGCCUGAUCCUGAUGUUGACGUGUCGUUGGGGAGGAGCUUCUUUAAAGGGACCACCAAUAGCAGUCCGUAAGGCCAGCUACACGUGUGUUUCUGACCCCAAUCGUCCUCGUAGGUAUCGACCAAUCAGACGCCCGCCCCCCUCACUACACCACGUAUCCCCCGCCCCCGUCCCCCGCCCCCAACCCCAGCAUCUUUCUACCCCACCAUAGAAGACUUGUGUACAUAACAAAAAGGUGUUUUGUAUAAAUGAGUACUAUUUUGGAGAUCUUCUGAGAAACCAGGGCACAAUGUAAACUUUGAAGUAAAGCUAUUGUAAUGUAACAGAAGAGGAUUAAAGAAAAGUCAAGUAUAGAAUUAAACUGACACUGCUUUCUCUCUUGUUUGAUGGACCGGUUGUGGGCCAGGACCAAUAUUCAGUUAUACCUUCAUUGAAUUAUCUCCUUUUAUACAAGUUUGCUUUCUUUAGUUUUUGGUCUUUUUUAAUUCUUCUUACUUUAGUUUUCUGGAAGACAGGCGGCAUUGCAUGCUCUGAAUAUGUUGCUGGUUAAGCAGGAGAAGAAGAUGGAGGGAUUUAAAAGGGGUUACUUAAAACAUUUCAAAAGGCAGAGGAGGUUCCUUCAACUUCUAUCGGGGAGAUGUCGCUUCAAUUUGCAGUUGCUUGUGUUUAACUCUACAUCUUCUUUUCUAUGAAAACAAAACAAAACAGAAAAAGAGUAUUCCAACACCUGUGCAAUAAAGCUAUCUUUCUAUGAAAUGUGAGAGCAUUGUUUCAUUCCUCCUGCGGAGUUAAAAACACUCUGCUUUUCUUUAUGAAGCAUCUCAGUUGAUGUCAUGUUGAACGGGCAUACUACUACUUACCCCAUCGUUACAGACACCACUGCAAUAUACUGCUGGAUUUAUAAUAAGUUUUAUUGAAGGAAGAUAGAUUCAGACAAUAGUCUGUGGAACGCUAAAGAUUAACAAAACCAUACAGUCACUUAUUGGGUCCUUAAAGUCCACAAAACACCAGUAAAGAUCAAAAUAUUCAAUAUUAUCCAAGGAGAUAUAUAUAUAUAUAUAUAUUUAUAUUCAUGAAGUUGAUAUAUAUUUAGGAUAUUUUAUUUAUAAGGUCAGAUAAAUAGCAGUGAUAGAUGAUAUGUCAGGUUUUACAAAGUGUUUGCUGGUAAUGCCAUUAAACUCUAUUGUAUAUUUUUAUGAGUGUAUUUGUGUGCAUACAAGUGUACGUUUGUCUAUGUGUGUUUUUGUAUUUGUGUCUUAUUCCGUGUGUGUGUGUGUGUGUGUGUACUGAGGUGUGUGCUUGCUAAAGCCUUUUCCUGGAACUCCCUCCCUCCCUCCUCUCUUUCCCUCCCUCCCCUCCC
ensembl:lncRNA